UGUGGGACAUGCUGGAGAGAAACAGCAGAAGGAAGAUAUAAGGUCCACUCAAAUCAAAACAUACUCUUGGGAUAAUGCCCAGGUUAUUUUGGUGGGUAACAAAUGUGACAUGGAGGAUGAGCGGGUAAUCUUCACUGAGAGAGGAAAACAUUUAGCAGAGCAACUUGGUUUUGAAUUUUUUGAAACAAGUGCCAAGGACAACAUUAAUGUCAAGCAGACAUUUGAGCGACUUGUGGAUAUCAUCUGUGACAAAAUGUCCGAAAGUCUGGAGACAGAUCCCAACAUCACUGCUGGCAAGCAGAACACACGACUAAAGGACAGCCCUCCACCACAGCAACCCAACUGUGGCUGUUAAUGCGGCUACCAGCAAAGGCAGCUCCAGCGCAUUCUGUUGCCAACAGAGUAUUUAUGAAUGGUCUAUAUGCCUUUAUUUAUACUGUCUUAGUAAUUUAUUUGGGAGAAAAAUCUUUUAUUCUACAUUAGCAUCUAGUUGAGUAUAUGUACGAAGAUGGGGAUAUUAAUAGUUUGAAAGAGUAAUCUGUUUUUUAGCUUCUGGCUCUUGCAUGCAGGAUGGCUGUUAGUUUCUCUUUUCUUUUUACUGUUUCUCAUUAUACUUACUUCAGCUAGUGCCAUGUGACUUGCAUCAUUGGUUUCAAAUUUUGUAGUUGAAUACUUAGGGCAGCGGCCAAGGUAUUUUAUAUUUUCUCCUGACCAAAAAUGUAUUUAGAAAUAUUACUUUAAAGAGCCAAUCAGUCAUUCUGUCUAGAUCAUUUAUAAGGAACACUUCCUUGAGCAUACUGCCUGAGUAAGUCUGGGCUCAGUAUGCUACACAUCAUGUGCUUGGAAACUGUAGAAGUUAGAAAGAGCAGACCUCCAGCCUUCCUGGACUUCAAGCUACCUGCCAUUCCUUUGAGAUUCCAACUGGUAUGGGUAUGGGUGUUCGUGCAGAUUCUCACAGAUAUUAGAUACUUCAUCCUGGCUAACUAGCUACUAUGCUUACAUUUUUGUUUGUUAAGCUCCUUUUGAAACUUUACUCAUUUUCUCAUUCCAACAUGCAGAUAUCCUGGUAGUUUCUGCCCUAGCAGAAGAGGUCUGACCAGCUCUUUUUUCUUUCCACCGGUGUUAGAUAUUGAACACUGUUCAGAUAUUACCCCUAAGAAAGCCAAAUCCAUCACAAUCAGUUGUUCAUAGCCAAAAACUGUCUUGUCACAUUGCUGUCAAACCUGCAUGCUUAAGCUUUCAGGAGCUGUAUGUCCCAUUCAGUCACUGGGACAGCCAUCACCAUACUGGUUACUAAUUUCACUCAGAUCUAAUGUAGAUGUGUUGCUGAUGUCAAUGAGCUUUAGUUUGACCUCAUUUUUUCUUUGAUGAGGAAAUAUUUUUCAUCAGGACUAUCACAGAUUGGCAAUAUUUUGAAAAUAACUUUAGGAAUAAUAAGAAAUAGUUAUCAUUUCCUAAGUUAAAAUGAAUGUAUCUCUAAAAUCAGGAAAAGCUGUGAAGUACACAGACACACACACAAAAAGGCAUAAUAAAGUACAACAAACAAAUUCUGUUUCAAUCAAUUUAAUAAAAAUAGUCAUAUUCUAAAGUUUUAAAAUGGUAAUUGGUGGCACAUCUAUGUCCAGUACAUAGUGCUUCAUGCAACACCUUUAUUUCUGUCACAGUGACAUUUUUAAGCUAAACUGCAUAACUGUGGAAUUAACUGUUUUAUUGUUCCUAGCAGACGGGCUUUAAGACAAGACUGACGUUUCCCUAACUGUCUGCAAUAAAAAAAUAAAAAUAAAAAUAAAAAUAAAAAUAAAAAUAAAAAAAUAGGAAGACAAAUUAGAAAGUGAAAGUAACAGAAGGUACUGAAAAUCCCUCUGUACACACUCCUGUUUUCAAAGGUUAUUCAUAUAAACUCCUGAAAGACACUGAGGAAAAUGGACACUUGGUUGUUUUUUCUCUUUCUUUUUGUUUGUUUUGUGUUGUGGUUUUUUUUGUUGUUUUUUUGUUUUUUUGUUUUUUUUAAACUGGUUAAAUAACUGAUAUUAACUUCGACAUGGUGAAAACGACUUUCAAGCAAGGCAUAUAGAGACACACGCAAAACGGAAUGGCCACCAGGGGGCAACAUUGGCUGCCUAACUUAAAUGAUCUUUCUUCAUUCUAGGAUUUUAAAACUUACGUCCUCUUAACAAGUUUCUUUAAACACCUAUUUUCCUAGUAGACAUGGAGGAUGAACUUUUACUUGCUGAAUUUCACGAAGAGAAAGCAUUGUCCUCUGUGGAGCUGAUGAGCGGUCAGGCAGAAGAGGCACGUGUUACACAUACCAUAAACCAGCCUCCUACAGAGCAGUACUUUUCUCUCCCAUGUCUAAGGCAGCAUGUUGGCAACUGUGCUGGGGAACUUUCAGUGACACCUUUUCACCCACUGGGUACUGGCUGCUUAGAUAAAAGAAGUGAUAGGACACCAAGGGUGCUUUACAUGAGGUGGUGGCCAGUUUCCUUCCUUGUGCUUGUUAUGUUCAUUUAUAUAUACUGGAGAAAAGUGAGCAGAACAUCCUUGAGACAGCAAUCAACAGCAGCCCUCAUUUAUUUAGAAAAGCUUUAAGUUGUAUUAUGUGCCUGAGACAUUACAUCCUCAGGCGAGGUAAAGUGAAUGGAGAAUAUCAACACAAAAGAGCUUGGGCAUGUUCUGUCUGGAUCAUGCAGCACUGCUACAAGUGCAAAUAUUCACCUUUGCUCUGUGACAAGUACAACCUCUAGCCUCUGACAUACUUGAUCUUCUGUAUGGGAUGGGGAGGUUGGGGGAAGCAGCUGCCAGAGUAACACUGACUGACUGCCACAUGUUACGAGAAAGGGCUCACCUGAAGCAGAAAUGCAGGGCCUAACGACUAUGUAAGAACUCCUAGGUUCUUUGUAUUGACGUUGCCAUAGAAUUCAGAAUUAUUCAGAUUAACUUUUAAUGUGUUCACAUCAAAUCCUUGGAGGCUUUCAAGACAAAACUAGAUAAAAUCCUGGGCGAUCUGCUUUGACUUCUCAGCUGACACUGCUUUGAGGAGGCUGGGCUGGGACCUGCUUAUGUCCCAUCCAACCAGAUUUAUCUUACCCUCCCUUCCUCUGAAAUUUGACAUUUCUGGAUGUUCAAGCAGAACUUUUCUCAACAGUCAGGUUUACCUACUGUUGGAAAAACAAGUUUCGAUUUUCCAACCAGUGGAAUAGGUUGGCUUUUGAAGCCAUGUUUCAGCAAUAUUGAGUUUUCUGCUAUAAAUUUUGGUCAGAUUCAGAUGACAAGCAUCAUGAGCUCUCGAUACUUCACCUUCUUACGGUGAAACCUGGCUGUUGCAGAGGAAUAUGAAAGACAGAAGGGCUUCUUGGAAGUAACUUACUAUUCCUUCCUCAAGCACGAUGAAAAUUUAGCUUGAGUUCCGUGGAAGCCAACAGGAGUAGAAUUUGCAUUUUACUUGAAAUUAUGCUUUGCACUGUUACAUAGCACAGAGUCUUCAACUGAAGCAUGUGUCAAUGUAAUUCAAUUACAACUGAUUCUGAGACAGAACUGCAAUUUUCUUAAAUGCAAGAAGAGAUGUGUUAUUUAAUAUUUUGGAAAUUCCAUCCAAGCCUAAUCAAGGAUCAAAAUUCAAACAACUAAUGGAUCAUUCUUCAUCCCUAUCCUGUAGUCACUGAUUAUGAGUUAGUCAUUGGAGGAGAAGCAGUAUUUGACACAGUUCUGCUAAGAGAAAAGAUCAGUAAUAUAUUAGUGAUACAAGAAGUCUGGUUCAUUAAAUUCAAAACCUAGGGACAAGAUAUCCAAAAUUAUUUACAGCCUCACAGUUUUUGAAGUACUCACAGACUUUUCACUAAUUUGUUGUCUCUCUCUGCACAGAAAUAAGAUUGAUUGUCAUGGAGCUACAUUCCAGUCACAAAUGACCUCUUUCACCAAAAUUUAGGCCAAUUGAUGAGAUACAACAGUUGUCAUAGAGAGCAUAUUGCAUUUUUGAGAGUUUAGAUGCCUCUGGUCAGAGACUCCUGAGCUCCAUAGUGCCAGCUGAACCGUCACUUCACAAACUAUUUUCCAAGUUAUGAUCUAUACUGAUGCUUUUAGCAGCAAGCUAAUUGUGUGCAUGGAUAGUACAGAAGCCUUAUCAUACUCUGAUAUUGUAUUGAUUGCUGUAUGAAAAACUAGUGCUCAGAAAAUGUCUUGGGAUCACAUGGGAACACAAGACACAGGUGGCUUCUGCAGUGCCUCCUGGCACCAGAGAGCUAGCAAGCCUUGCUGAGUUAACCUUCAGAUACUUUUCUGAUUUUGAUAAGAGUUGAUGUUCACAAGCAUUCCAGUCUUUAUAGCAUAGCUAAUUUACUAGUAUAUUUUUGUUGUUGUUACAGUAGUUUGUUUAUUUAGAUCUGUUGGUUUGGUGUUUGAAAUACAUAUAAGCUAGCUGGAUUUUCUGUCAAAAAAUAUUCUCUCUGAACAGUUGUGUACGUGACCGUUACCUGGAACUGUUUGUUCCUCUGUGCUUUUACUUAAUGCAAUGCUUAGAGAAACUACCUGAGCAACUACAUGUCUGUGGCCUUUCCAGAGCGUCAGUCUGAAAGAUUAAACUUUCUUCCCAGUCUACUCAGCUUUGUACAUUCAGCUGUACCACAUGCACCUUCUUUAUUUCAGGAACAAAGUAUGUCAUGAUACACAAAUUCUGCUGGAAUUUGAUCCCAGUAUUUGAGAAUGCUUUGAGUUGAAUUUUCAAUUUUAGGGGAAAAAAAGGUGGUACAAAUUCUACAUCUGGUGAUGAUUCCUCUGUUCUGUAACAGCAGAUGAAAGAUGCUGCAUUUGCAUUCUAAAAAAACAAUCUCUCCCACAAACUACUCUUCUCUAUAUUUCUUUGGGAGAGGCAAGUUUUAUUACAUGUAUUUUUAAGGGCAUCAACUAAAUUACUGUCCUGCUGAACGACUGUUAAGACAGUUUCCUCCUUGGCCUGUUUCUUAGACAGUGAGUAGGUGAGCCUUAGCAGUUUGAGACCCUGAGUAGUAAAUACUUAUAGAUCAGCACUUAGGGAGUGUAAAGCAGUAUCUCACUUCUGCCAACAGAGAAGUGAGUUCUGUUAAUUUACACUGUUUAAUCCAUACACGUAGGCUUUUCAGUACAGUCUGACUUCAGAUUCUCCAAGAUUCAUCAUAUGUUUAGUGUCAUUUGAAGAGGCAACUCAGUUCAAUUAUUUGAACAACUUUUACCAGUUUCUUUGUUAAGAAGAGGUGAAUGCAGUUCACCUUACAAAUUUGUUUUUUGUUUUCGUUUUAUUUUUCCUUCCUUUUAUUUUACUUUGUUUAUCCAUGGAUAUUCACUGAGUCAGAAUUGUAACUACACACAUUUAGUAUGCAUAUGCAGCAGUAUGUCUUUGACACUCACUCAGUUCCUACUGCUACUUAUCUCAGUAAGUGCAGCUUUCCAUAAAUGCCACAGUAAACUUAUCCAGAACUCAUUAACACCAGAAAUCCAUGGGAUUACAUCUGUAGACCAUAUGUUUAUUUUCCAUGGCUCCAGCACAUGCAGGUGGCUAGUCAUUUAUAGAAUAAGGUACCUGGUAUUUGAUUCAAUGAAGGAGAAGCAGAAGAGCAGUAACUUCAGGCUCACGCAUAACAUGCAUUAAUGAAAGCUGGGGAUUGCGUACCACUUCUGUCGAUAACUUUACCUGAGUAACUCUGACAUGUACCUGCAACUAGUGUUAAAUGAACUGUUUGUGUGUAACUCCUGUUUAAUAUUUUGUGAGUAAUGUCAGAAGUGUCGUGGCUCAGUUGAACUGUCAGAACGUGUUACCUAUAUACUCGUGUUUGUGAAACUGAAAUGUCUUAAAUGUUGCAUGAAAAUAUGUUAUAAAAAUAGAUGUUUUCUAUUUUUUGAAUACCUCAAAACUGAGGAAUCAUGGGCCAAUAAGUGCAAUAUUUAAUGACUUACUCAGUGUAUAUAAACCUGUGUGAAAGGGAGAAGUGUCCUGUAUGUGUGGUAAGGUGUUGAUGAUGCCUGUGUGGCUUAAGAUUUCCAGUAGCUAUGUGUGUCUUGUAGUAAAAUUUAUAUAGUAAAUGCUUUAUCAGUGUAGUGUAAAAAUACUCUAUUCUUAAGUCAUUUAAACUAUUUUUCAUAUAUUCAAAUAUGACACGGUAAAAGAUGUCUGUAUGUCUAUUGCAAGUGCAUGUCAAUUUUACUUUUAGAACUGAGUGUGUCCUCUUUGGAAAUGGUCACAUUACAUCGACACUAGUGGGACAACACAUUUAGUCAGAAGAUGCUUGUAAACGUGUCUGAACUAUCUGCAUAUAUUUUUAAAGCAUGUUCCCUAGAUACAUUAGAAUAACCUCCUAGAGCGUUAUCAGCUAUGUUAUCUGUUUGCCUAUAUUGCAUAAUAUCAUAUAAGUGUGUUUUAAUAUGAUAUAGUUAACUUGUGAUAUCUGAAAAAUUUAAUAGGAGUAUCCAAUACUCUUGCAGAUAACUUUGCAAACUUCAGUAGGUGCCCUGAUUUAACAUUUUUUGGGAACAGCCAGAAGGUCAUAGUCAAAGUAGUCUAGCACAGUGUACAGUGACUUUAAUUAGUUAUGUAUGUCAGUUCAUUUCCUUAACUUUUCUAUAUCCUAAAGAAGGAAAAUAAAUACAACAUUAAAUACAUUCACCCAGACUUUUCACUCACUCAACAGCUACAUGGUCCUUAGUAUAGUUGGAAAAAGUGCAGUCUAGAAUCUAACCAAGACAUAAAAAUGAGAGAUCCAAUCAUUCAUAUUUCCUCUCCUCUUACCCUUGCAUAUUUCUGAUAAUUCUCUAAGCACAUGAGCAAGGCCAUCACUAUUCAGCAAAACUCUCAAAUCUUUAGGGCACCUGUGGGACUUCUGACCCUGAAACACCUAUCCACCAGUGGUUCCCAGUUGUGCCUAUGGACUCCACGAAGGAGAAGCUUAUUCUGUUAAUUCUUGCUAUACCUCUGAUUUCAAAGAGAGUGUGUCAUGAUCCCUGGAAAUCUGCUAAGUAAAGUUAGGCCACUGAGACUGGGACAAGGAGAGUAACUGCUUGUACUGAAAUUUUUCGAAAAACCCAUUUUCAUUAAAAGAUGUCUAAGUAUAUUUUUAGUUUUACAUUUUUUGUAGACAAUAUACUAAGUUAACUCAUAUGGUUGGUUGGUUGCUUGAGUUUUGUUUUGUUUUGUUUUAACUUAGACUUACAAAGAAAAGAAUCGAAGUUUAAGGCCUGCUGGAAACCAUUGGCUUUCCUGUCUGCACAUAGUUUCUCUGAGAAAGCAAAUAGCCAAACUGCAUUAAGUAGCACAGGACAGCACUUGCAAUGACCUGAGCAGCCCUUAAAAUUCUUCCUGCUUUUAUACCUGCUGCUAUGAAAGCGCUUGCAAAAUUAUACAGUUUGGGGUAAAAUGAAAAUUAAUUUUGAGAGAAUUUGAGAUUUCUUAGGAAAAGAAGAAAAUUCUGGACAUCUUUACAGCUAAGCAGCAGAUAAAAUAACAGUCCUAAUAGGAAGUACCACUUAAGUGCAUAUAUACAGGCUGCUACAGGACUGGGGAUAUAUUACCUAAUUUUUUAUUUUGCUAAGUGACCUGAGUAUUCAAGGGCUGGCAGAUAAUUUUACCUACUAUUUUUAUUAUUCCUUAUUGACCUAUGAAUAUAUACACAAGGACAAAUACUUACCUUGAAAAUAUGUAGCUGUUCUGGCUCCUUCAAGCUAACUUGCUGAAUUGUUCAUGACAAUAAGUUGUUCAAGUUCUUGCUAAGGAUACAUUUGUGAGGGGAUGAGACUCAAUCUGUCCCUCCUCCACCAGCUACUUCUGCAAUAUAGUGACUGUCGUUCUGAAAAAUACGUUAGUUUAAAAUGCUGCUGGGUGACAAAUGUUGUGAAUCUUCUGCAUUCAUCCACAGGAGUUCCUGUCUGAACGUGAAGUACAAGUUUUGUCCAUGUGCAGAGUUUUAAAUAUAUGUGGACGUAGAGACUGUGUGUAUUCCAUUAAAUACUCUGUUCGUAUGUGACUUCUGUAUACCAAGUGGAUUUUGUUUGUUUAGCUUUCUUUUUGCUGACUUUUUUUUUUCUCUUUUCAAUUACAAUAAAUAUUCAAGAGACUAUAUUCAGGAA